AUGCUUUAUAUUUUUGCAGAUCAAAAGAAGGAGGAAGCUAUGCCCACAGAGGGAGAGAAAUCUCCUGAGGCAGAGAACAACAAUAAUAAAAAAAAUAAAACUGGAGGCUCACAGGAUUCUCAACCUUCACCCCUGGCUUUGCUGGCAGCCACUUGCAGCAAAAUAGGAACUCCUGGUGAGAAUCAAUCAACUGGACAACAGCAGAUUAUUAUAGAUCCAAGCCAGGGUUUGGUGCAGCUUCAAAAUCAACCACAACAGUUAGAAUUAGUUACAACUCAGCUUGCUGGAAAUGCGUGGCAGCUUGUUGCUGCUGCUCCUCCUGCUUCAAAAGAAAAUAAUGUUGCUCAACAAGGAUCUUCUAUUGCUUCAAGCACAGCAAGUCCCUCCAGCAGCAACAAUGGGAAUACAUCUCCUUCAAAAACUAAAUCAGGUAAUUCUGCUACUAACCCUGGACAGUUUCAAGUAGUACAAGUACAGAAUCCAAGUGGUAGUGUCCAAUACCAAGUGAUCCCACAGAUUCAGACAACGGAAAGUCAGCAAAUUCAAAUCAAUCCUGCCAGUGCUACAGCUCUACAAGAUUUACAGGGUCAAAUUCAGCUCAUCCCUGCAGGGAAUAAUCAAGCUAUCCUCGCAACUGCAAAUAGGACCACUUCGGGGAAUAUUAUUGCUCAGAACCUGGGAAAUCAGACAGUUCCAGUGCAAAUUAGGCCUGGUGUUUCAAUACCACUGCAGCUGCAGACUAUUCCAGGUACUCAGGCUCAGGUUGUAACAACCUUACCUAUAAACAUUGGAGGAGUAACUCUAGCAUUGCCUGUGAUAAACAACGUGGCAGCAGGAGGCGGUUCUGGACAGGUUGGCCAGACUACUGAUAGUGGAGUUUCCAAUGGGAAUCAGGUAGUAACCACGCCUGUCACCACUGCUUCUGUUAGUACUAUGCCAGAAUCCCCUUCCUCUUCUUCCAUUUGUACAACCACUGCCUCAACAUCUCUGACUAGCAGUGACACUUUAGUAAGCUCGGCAGAGGCAGGCCAGUAUGCAAGCACAGCAGGCAGCAGUUCAGAGCAUACUCCUGAAGAAUCUCAAACAACUGCCACAGAAUCAGAAGCCCAGAGCUCCAAUCAGCUUCAGCCUAAUGGACUACAAAACGUGCAGGAUCAGUCAAGUUCACUUCAACAGGUGCAAAUUGUAGGUCAGCCUAUUCUACAGCAAAUACAGAUCCAACAGCCGCAACAGCAGAUUAUUCAAGCCAUUUCUCCACAGUCAUUUCAGCUCCAGUCAGGGCAAACUAUUCAGACCAUCCAACAACAGCCUUUGCAAAAUGUUCAGCUGCAAGCAGUGAGUCCAACUCAGGUACUCAUCAGGGCUCCAACUUUAACACCAUCCGGGCAGAUCAGCUGGCAAACUGUGCAGGUUCAGAAUCUUCAAAGCCUUUCAAAUUUGCAAGUUCAGAACGCUGGGUUACCCCAGCAACUAACCAUCACCCCAGUGUCUUCAAGUGGGGGCGCAACUAUUGCCCAGAUUGCGCCAAUGGCUGUUGCUGGUACCCCAAUCACACUGAAUGCUGCCCAGCUUGCUUCAGUGCCUAACCUCCAAACAGUAAGUGUUGCCAGCCUCAGUGCAGCGGGUGUUCAAGUUCAAGGAGUUCCAGUUACCAUUACCAGUGUUGCAGGUCAACAGCAAGGACAGGAUGGAGGCAUGAAAGUACAGCAAGCCACAAUAGCUCCUGUAACUGUAGCCGUAGGAGGUAUUGCUAAUGCAGCAAUUGGUGCUGUUAGUCCUGAUCAGAUCACACAAGUGCAGUUACAACAGGCCCAGCAAGCUUCUGAUCAGGAAAUACAACCUGGCAAGAGGCUAAGAAGAGUUGCCUGCUCGUGUCCUAAUUGUAGAGAAGGAGAAGGAAGAGGCAGCAGUGAGCCAGGAAAAAAGAAGCAGCAUAUCUGCCAUAUCGAAGGAUGUGGAAAAGUUUAUGGGAAAACAUCUCAUCUCCGGGCACACCUUCGUUGGCAUACUGGAGAAAGACCAUUUGUAUGCAACUGGAUGUUUUGUGGCAAAAGAUUUACACGGAGUGAUGAGCUGCAAAGACAUAGAAGAACCCACACAGGUGAAAAAAGAUUUGAGUGCCCCGAAUGUUCUAAGAGGUUUAUGCGGAGUGACCAUCUCUCCAAACAUGUCAAAACUCAUCAGAACAAGAAAGGUGGUGGAACAGCCCUUGCUAUUGUUACUUCAGGAGAACUGGACUCUUCAGUUACUGAGGUUCUUGGCUCUCCAAGAAUUGUCACAGUUGCAGCCAUUUCUCAAGAUUCAAACCCAGCAACCCCUAAUGUUUCAACAAACAUGGAAGAAUUCUGAAAGGAUCAUUUAUAUGGACACCUAGUGCUGCACUUAAGUUUACAUACCUUUCAUGAUAUGGAAGUGGGCUGGUAAAGUGGAUUACAGAGCAGAAAAUCAUGUUUUCAAUCUUGACUUCUGUAAGUAUUCCAAGUUGGAGGGUCAGCAUGAGAAGUGUACACUGGUGCAACAAGACAAAUUUUCAAAAAUACAAACAGCGCAAAUUGACAUACUGGAUAAACAGUUGGGGGAAUACUGCUUCCAUACUGUACUUUUUUAGUUAUGUGGCUCUAUAUUAUAUAAUUGUUUUAAAUGAAAAUUUCCCCUCUCUUUUAACAUUUGUGUGUUGUUGUGUUUGUAAAAUCAGACAAUAUCAAUAUGACAGGGUGGAUCUUGAUUAGGAGUGUUGUCAUUUGGAGAUACUUUGUUUAUAAUCUGAAUCUGUAAUAUUUUCAAGGGAACUUCUUUUCCCAUAAGGCACAACAAAAAUGCAUAAGAAUUGAGUGGUAAUUAUUUCUUUGCUCAGUUCUGUGGAAUCUGUACAUUGAUUUUGGCCGUCUUUUCUCAAGUUUAGAAAUUAUUCAAAUAGCAGUUGAAUUUACAUGCUGCAAAGCAGAUCUGAGGUGCAGCUCAGAUAAUUUUGACCACUACAUUAUAGUAGUGUGUAUAAAUGACAAUCACUGAACUCAGAUUUCUCUCUUUCUUUGGAGAGUUAAGAGAUAUUUAGAUUUAAUGUAUACAUUAGAAAAAAUUAAACUACAGAAAUAUAUUAACAUAAGAUUUUACAGAAUUAAUAUCUUUAUGUAGGAUAAUAAUAAAAUAUGGCAACUUGUGUGUUUAAAUUUUGAUAUUCCAGUUCAUUACAUUUUAAGACAUCAGGAAUCCAUUUGUUAACUUGAGUCACAAAACUCAUACUUUUUGAAUAUUUAAAUUUUAUGGGAAUACUUGGACAUUAAUUACACAACUGAAUUGUUUAAUGAGUGUUGUAACUCAUUCUCCAGUUCUCUCCUGUAUAUAUAAAUUAUUAUAUUAUGGUGAAGGUGAAGAAUUCUUUAUACUUUGACUAAACAGCCAAAGAAAAGGACAAAUUAUGACAUUUUAACAUCAAAAAAGGUAAUUGUAAAUUAAUGUAUUUUUUCUUUCUCUUCCUCUAAAGAUUAAUCAUCUUAUUUUCUUUCCAAUUGUAAGUGCAUAAGCUGGUAAGGAAUAUCCGCCACCCAUUUUCUUAUAUGAUCAAUAAUUUUGAGCCUCCAGCCACAAGAGAAACUUGUGCAAAAAAGGAAUAUAGGUAUCUUUUUAUCAUAUAGCAACUAAUUUAAAAGGUUUGAUUAUAUUUCCAAUAUCUAUUAACUUAAUAGAACAUAAUUGUUGGAGAAAUAAAACAACUGAGCAUUUUUUUAUGUAAAAACUCCAGUGCAUACAUGGAGGAAAGAUGGCCAAAUAUUUCACACUCAGGAUUUUGAAUUAUUUCCCAUAGUCGUAAAUGGAAUGUUUUACAAAUUUAGCCAUUUGGUAUCCCAUGACAGUCCAUUUUUUUAAAUGUAUACAUCAAAAUAUUUUUGUGAUAUAAAAGGGAGUACAGUGCAAGAAGGAUUAUUCUUUUUCCUGCAGGUUAAAGAUGAACAGUUUAUUUGGGAAAUGUUUGUAUGAGACACAUAACAGAUACCGUGUGCAUUCUCUCAGAAAACAUACUUCUCAUAUGAAUGCUUUAUCAAUCUUGUGAUGUUUCAUGUAUUUUUGAAGAAAGAAAUACCAAUCAUUGUUUACACUGUGUACACUUUAGGCCAGCCCUUUGUAGCGAAAUAUAAAGCUGAAGGUCUUUUAUACUUUCAGUUUACAUUAAAAGCUUUGAGAUUAAAGGAAAAACAAUUUUACACUGUGGUUAUAGAUUUCAAGUUUCUUAAAGCUUUUGUAGACUUGUAACGAAGUCUUUAAAUUUUAGUUGGGUUUUGUACAUUCUUUUGUAUAUUUUAUUUAAAGAACUCUCAGCUGAUGUAUCUGGAUUUAAAACAUCAGAAUCAAUUAGAUUACUACAUUUAAUACAAAUGAACAUUAGGUAGUGCUAAUUGUUAAUUUUGUUAUAUAAGAACUGGAACAUCAAAUAUAUAUUUUAUCAUUAUGCUUCACAAUCAGUGCUAUAAAUUUCUUUAUGCAAAGAAAAACUUUCCUAAUGUUAUGAUCAUGUUUCUUAGAAGUUAACAGUUUUUAUAAACUGAAGGUAUGAGCAUUCUGCACAGCCAUUUCAUAUUUUUUUCAUGCAUACUUAUGUAUGCAGAUAAGAAACUGAAGUCAUUUUUAAUCUACAAUGAGUCCAUAUUACAAAUGUAUCAAAAUCUAAAUCCGGUUGACUUCAUAGUAUCUAAAGUACAUUCACUUACGUUAGCAGGUGCACAUUUUACCGCUGGAAUUAGAAACAUUUUGACAGUCUGUUCUGCAUACCAUUCUGAGUCCACUUUUCUGUCUUAGAAGGAUCGUAAAUUUCAAUGUCCUUUAUUUGACUCAGUGGGAUAUAGCUGUUGUAAGUAAUAGGGCACAGAUGUGCAGUAGUAUCUUGUUUAAUGGCAUUUCACUGUUCAUUCCCUUUGCCACUGUUAUAAAAUUUUGCUUUAUUGUAAUUAUCAGUGCAAAGUGUAUUUAUCAUGGUAGAACUCCAGUGUUAGAAUAGUUUUUUUCUUACAAUAUACAUUCUUUGGUUAGUUUUGUGUAUGUGUUGCCGAUUACAUUAGAAAUUGGUGUUAAGUCAUUAUUUAUCACACUCUUUCACGAGAGCAGUAAUAAAAGUGUGUAAUUUAGAAGAAAAAGUUAAUUUGUCAAACUUAGGUAAGCAUGAUGUUUAGGUCCUAUUUUUCAAUUUUAUAACUGUUUUAUUGCAACAAUAUUUGUAUUUAAGUCUUCAUUUUAAUGCCUUGUGGUGUUUUUUAAUGCAUGUCACUGAAUUGUCAUCCCGCAUAAAUUGAUGUGCAGCAUAGGGUAUUAAAUCUACAUAAUGAUUUUGAAACAGAGAAAUAGUUGAUGGUAAAAAUGUAAAUGUUUUGCAAAAAUUCCUUAUAAAAAAGUUUUGUAGUAAUAUUUCACUUGUAAAUUGUUUUCUAAAAAAAUAGAAAAAUUAAAUAAAAAAAAGAGAGAGAGAAAUAAAACCAGAUUUCCCACAUUCUAGAAGUUAGAACUGAAUUCUGCCAGCAAAGCCUCUAAGGCAUUAAUUUGACAUUUUUAUAUUGCUGAUUUUUUUUUUUUUUUGGUAGAUUUAGAACUCAAAUUAUGUACAAGUUGUUGCCUGCAAUAACAAUUUUGCAAGUAACCUAUUAAAAUUCCCUUGAGUUAAAAAUGUUUCUUCAUUUAAUUACUUAUAAUAUGAAGCAGUAAUAAAUUAUGUUUGAAUGAUCUGCUCAUCAAGAAGACCAGUGGAAGGCAAAUGCUUCUCAAUGGAGAAGCAUUGGCAGCAGCCUCGGGAUUCAUGUAAUUAAGACCUAUACUUGCUGGUCUGCGUUCCCCAACUGGCAGACUCCCAGCAGGGAAUUAAAAAAGCAGAUUCCAGCUCAGUGUGAAUUUUGUUCAGCUCUUGGAAUGGAAGUUAUAGUUAUGCCUGAACACAUUCAUUUUUAUUAAAGAACAUUACAAGAGGUGACUGAAGGAAACAUUUAACUAAGAUGAGAAAUAGAAGAAACUAAGAAAAAAAUGUGAGAAUUGCAAUUUUUUAAAAGGAGACAACAGAUGAUAAAACCAAAAUGUCUCAAUUGUGUUUCAGAUUAGAAAUGAAAUAAAACAAAUCCAUCGGAAGGAUGAAGGUGCUCACUUGAAUACUCCAAAAAUUAUGCUGGAUUUUACUUUGUUUCAGUGAUCUAGAUGGAUUUGUGCCGCUGGAAAACAAAGUGAUAUUCUGUGGCUAUGUGACAGUGAUGGACUGAAACACUAUCAUUGGCAGAUAACUCUGAAACUAUAGAAAAUGAUGGUGAUCUUGAAGGUGGAUAGUCUUCAGAAUCCUGUAUGUUGAGGAUGGAUUCUCCUAAACAAAACAAGUCAAUGCAGUUAUUUAAUUAUUAUUAUCAUACUGCUCAUUUAGUAUUUCUCGAUGCAUUCACUGACACUCAGUACUACUUUAAAGGUGAAAUUGUAAAAGGAAGAUCUGCCUAUUUCAGCUAUUUAUUUUUUUAUCACAACUGCAUCUAAAAUGAUAGUACCAUAGAAUAACAACUAUAUUUUUUGCUCAAACAUGAGAAUUCAAGAAUAGUCCAGAAGGGAAGGCAGACAGUCCUUAAGAAAGAAGUAUGAAAUAAAAAAGUUUACCAACCUGAAGAUCCUGCAUGUUCAGACAUGUUCCUUUCAUCAGCUUCAACACAGCUUCCUCCUGAGAAGGAACACUUCUCAUGAUGAUGUUUCAUUCGGGCAACCAGGCCUUGCAUUUCUUUGUUGCACUGUUUGCAUUUUGCAUGCAUGCAUAUCUUACCCACAGGUAAAGGAACUUCAUUAAAAUAUUCCCAAACUGGGUCUCUUUUAUGGCCUGCUGCCAUUAUAGAUUUUCCCUUCUAGUGAGAGAAUGGUAUGGUAGAUCUCAAAUCAAUGAAAGGUACACUCAGAAAGACCUCAAGACUUCUGGAAUAUGCUGCUCAGUUUCACUUUUGUUUCUACUGCCUGUCCCUCCCUUCUCACAUUUAUCUCCAGACUUCUUCUCCUUGUCCAGAUCUAGUCCGACUCCAACAAUCUUCUAUUCAUUGAACUUUUUGAAACUUUGCACUUUUAGAGAGAGGUAAGGGAUUGACUCUGUGUUCACAAUUUGCAGAGGGACAAUAGGGUUGAGAUCUGUUAUUUCUCACCUCUAUUAUUUAUUUAUUUAAAAACAUUUUUGCUGUUAACAAGCAUGUUAUCUGUGGAGACACAAAUCCACAGUUUGAGAACUGCAAAACUAAGCAUCUCUGAUGGUAUCUUCUAGACUGAGAACUGAGUCCAAUUGGGUAGAUAGAAAGAUUAACCUAAAUAAUCUAUACAGAAGCCCCUGGAACCGCAUAAGAUUGGGUCUCUAAUCCAUGAACUAUUGGAACUCAUUUAGAAAACUUAUCUUAAACUUUACAUGAAUAUGUCUCAUACUAUAGAAUUAGAAUUUAUAAUCCCUAUUCCAUGAUGAUAUCUUUGAGCUAUAAUGUAUCUUAAUUAAAACUAUCUUUAGAUAGGUUUUUUCCUCAAAAAGCAUUUUAUCAAAAAAAUCUGAUUUAAAAAAAAAAUCAGAUUUUUUAAAUUUAAAUCAUUGAUUUUUAUCCACCUUGGAUGGGAACAGAAUCUAAAUUCCCGAGUCCUAGUCUUGAUUUAAGACAACCAUCCUUCUUCUCCUCUAAUACAGACCUAGAAUCCAUGAGCUUCAUUGUAUCUACAUGUUUGAUGAGAUAUGUUUAAUUUCAAGUUUCAUUAACUUCUAUUUGAGUAGAAUAACUAAUACUACACAAAGCUUUCAACUGUAGCCAAAGUCUAAUAGAUUUUGAAUUAAAAUCUAUAGUUUUAUGUAACCUAUUACUAAGUCUAUAUUACAAAGUAAUUUUAAAAAGACAUUUUACAGGGGCACAGGAUUCUUAUUUUUAGACGUCUACUACUGAAUGUUCUAAAUUUUCUUAAAUUGUUGAGAAGAGAAAAAUCCUUCACUUUGCAUCCAUCACUGUAGUAUAGUAUCAGAAAAUGUAACACAAAACUUAAACCAAUUAGGAGACUAAGGAUAAAUAUUCAAACUUUCAUUCUGUCCCCUUUAUGUAUGUGCCUUAAAAUGUGGCCUUUCUAUCAUCUACUUUUUGUCAAAUGUAAAAUGUAAUUCCAAAUGGAAUUUCUUAUAUAAGCUUAGAUACAAUAAAAUAAAAAUAAUGCAUUGUACAUACAGUAUAUACAUUGAUAUACUUUUGUGAAAUAGAUACUGUGCAGGUAGGCUAGUAACAACAUUUUAUAUCCAGUUAAGUGGCAAAAUACAGUAUUAGAAUUUUUCUGUAAUGACCAUAGAUCAGCUCCAUCCCCCCCCUCCCCUGGCUCCCACACCCCAGCUACUUCGCACCUUUCUAACAAACCUAGGAAUUCCAUUAGAUUAAGGGGAAUCGUCAGGUGGCAUAGUAGGCCCUAUAUCAUUUUGCCCCACCCCCGUUGUCUCAUGAGAGAGGGGUAUGUUAGGAGUUUCCUGAGGAAAAUGAGAUGUGUCUAGAGCAGCGUAUCUCAAAUACGCAUGCAGCCACCAGGGGCUUUUUCUUGUGGCCACAGCCUCCUAGGCAAUAACUGGGGGUUUGGGGGGGGAUGACACAAGCAGUGGCCCCUACCUCAGGGCCACCAGCAAAAGUUGGACCCUGCCCCCCCCCCCAGGCCACAAAUGCUGGAUGAGCAGGCAGCCAGUGAGUUCCCCACCUUUCUGAGAGUGGUGAGGCUCAGACUUCAGCCUUGGUGUGGUGGGCGGCAGGCUCCGGUCAUGGGACUUCAGGCUGCAGGCCUAGACCCCCGCCAUGGGUGCCGGCCCUCAGCUUACCACCCCCCUGCAUUGCCUCUGGCCCCUGCUGCCUCCCCGGCCCCCCACCCAUCCCCUCCAUCGCCACUGGCCCCCACUGUCUCCCUAUCCACCUCCCCAUCCAGGACUCAGUUUGUUCCCUAGCUUGCCAGGGCCGAAUAAAUCUGCUGUGAAAAUGGAUACUUGUAUGUUUGUUAAUAUCACUUUUCACAGCCUCCCAGCUAGCUGGUAAGUCUGCUGUGAAAAGUGAUAUUAACAAACAUACAAUUACUUUUCACAGCAGCAGACUUACCAACUAGCAAGGCAACCAAAAAGUAAUAGAAAUAACAACAACAAAAAAGACAAGAAUGUGCAGAGGACCUUAUUUGUCCUUCUUUUCUGUUUAGGUCCAGUAAAGAAUAGAGACGACUGUACAUUAUUAUUAUUGAGGCUGCAAAAUAAACUCUACAUAAAUAAAUUACAAUGUUUUGGAUGUGUA